rnacentral:rRNA from 1 species
UACGAAGGGGGCGAGCGUUAUUCGGAAUCACUGGGCGUAAAGCGUGCGUAGGCUGCUCUAAAAGUUAGGAGUGAAAGCCCCAGGCUCAACUUGGGAAUUGCUCUUAAUACUGUAGGGCUCGAAUUUGGGAGAGGAUAGCGGAAUUGUCAGUGUAGCAGUGAAAUGCGUAGAUAUUGACAGGAACACCAGUGGCGUAAGCGGCUAUCUGGACCAACAUUGACGCUGAGGCACGAAAGCGUGGGGAUCAAACAGG